UUCCGCUUAGGUUAUCAUGAUGGGCAUCUCGUGAUCCGCUGGUUCUGGGCUGCAGUGGAGCGUUUCAACAACGAGCAGAGACUCAGAUUACUGCAGUUCGUCACAGGAACAUCAAGUGUGCCCUACGAAGGCUUCGCAGCCCUGCGAGGAAGCAAUGGGCUUCGGCGUUUCUGCAUAGAGAAAUGGGGGAAAAUUACAUCUCUCCCCAGGGCACACACAUGCUUCAAUCGCCUGGAUCUCCCGCCUUAUCCCUCGUACUCCAUGUUGUAUGAGAAGCUGUUAACGGCAGUAGAAGAAACCAGCACCUUUGGACUUGAAUGAGAAACUGGCAACUUCCCUGACAUUUUCCUGGCCAGUGACAUCAUCCUUUCCCUUUCCCCGAAUCAAGUCUCCUUUGAUUUUGGUAUUCUGUGAUUUUCCUUUUCAAACCAAAUCAGGAUUGAUGAGCUGUGCAUGAAGAAUUGCCUUCUUCUAAGAUCUAACCUUCAGGCUUAUCUCCUCUACGUUCAAUGAACUGCUAGCCUGUAUGCAAUAUUUAAAAAAACAGCUGUCUCAAGGUCUGUGUAUAUCUCCACAUACCUCCAUUACUAACAAUGAAAUAUGAAUGCAAGUUAUGCUACACUUGACCAAAUGGUAAUAAAUGUUUACUUCCAUUUCUAUGAUUUAAGGGGAAAUUUGAGCAUUAAGCAUUCCAAGCUUUUCUACACCCAUGUCUUCUGAGCAGAACCACCAUUUUUUUUUUUUAUAAUUUCUAACAACCAACUUCAGAAUAGGAGCUGAUCAACUCUUUCUUUUCUUCCCUUCCCAUUCUACUUUUCCCUGGGCAUCCAAUCCAUCCAAAAACAGCAGUGGCUAAACUGAAAUUUUGAUAUAUUCAACUCAUGAUUUGUAUGUGUCAUCGGCCCCAUCAGCUGGAACUAGCCUAGACAUAUGGUGCAAAUAUCACACUUUCCAACCAAUAAUAACAGCAAGAAAAACACCUCCUGCUGAUGCAAUGCAGGGCAUCCCAAUGGUUGUGGGGAUUAUGGUUCGACUUGAGUUCAGAGAAGUCUGGGGGUGGGGACACACCCCCUGUGAACACCCACCACCCAAGAAGCACAAACUUGUGCACACAUCCAAGAAGGAGAUCGCAUUAUGUAGCAUAAACAACGAGGCUUCUACCCCCAUGAUGUUGUAUAGAAGUGUUGAAGCAAACAGGAGAAAGGGGGAAAGGACAUCAGGACGAUUUAGAAGGACAUAUUCAGUUGCUCUGAAUACCUGGGUUCUGUACAGUUUUAUUUUGCUUUGUUUGAUCACAGGUCUCUUUCCCAAAGGAAAAAAAAAAAUGUCCUGAUAAUCUCAUGACUUCUGUUCAAGCCAAGUAAUUGCUUGUUUGGCAAACAGACUUUUAUUUCAACUUUGAUAGUGUUUUUAUUUUUCAUGUUUACUUUUCAGUUUUUCUUCACCAUGGUGUUCAAAUUCCUUCACAUAUGAUUGUCCACAGGGACCACACUAAAUCAGAAGCUGCAGAGAGCGAUGGUGCUUGUUAGGGAUCAAGGGCAAAAUAAUACAUCUCCUUCCUCCAUAGCAAUCCUCCUGGAGCAGAGACCUAACCCCCCAAAGGCACACCGAUUUGUGUCAAAUAGGGAUCCAGUUUCCUUUAGCAUUCAGUAAAGAGAUGUCUCAGUAAACAUGGUGUUUCAGAGUAACAGUUGCAGGCUCCAGAAACAGCCUGACCUCUUGAUUACGUUUGGAAGAAACCCAAACAUGAUGGUCAUUUGCUAUUUUUCUAAUGUUGUUAUCCAUGUCGUCUGAAAUAUGUUGUAAAAGAAAGUGUUUUUCUUCACUGGGAAAAGAAAUGUUGAAAUGUUACAUUGUUGUCCUUCAAUAUAUAUUUAACAAGGGGAAAAUGUGAGAAACAUGGGCAAGUUAACUUCAUUUGGAGCCAUGUCUUGUGUUCAUGUGGGUUUGUGUCCAGACAAUGCAUCAAUUGUGUUCCCUGCCCUCUUUAAGGAAACAUUCCUUUAGUAGGAAUUAGAAUGCCCAGCACCCCUUGCUGCUGUGUACCUGUGGUCCAUCAAGGAAUAUGUAUGUUGCAGAAAUCUGGCCUUCUGUUGUUGUCUACAAAGAAUAUUUACUGACAUUGGAUGAUGAAAUGUGUAAGUUCCAUAAUGCAGAAUCUAAGGGAUCUGUAUAAUUCAGGACACAUCUCAGCAUCUGAAAAGUCAUGGAUUCCAGUGGAGCUAUUAUUUAUGAAAUCAGGACAUAAGGAUGAUGCAAAUCAUUUCACCAUCCUAUAUAGAAUAGUAUCUUUAGUAAAGGGAGCAUCUUUCAUUUUUAGGACUUGGUGUUAGAUAUAUGUAAAUACUUGUUAAUUCAAGCAUUCAGUUCUUUUUUUUAGGACUCAUAUGUUAGGCUUUGGCAAGAGAGAAAGCUGUUCCAAAAUGGAACCUGUUCCCAGGAAUCUUCACAAUUUACAUAAAUAUCUAAUUAAGCUGUUAAUAGAUUAACUGAUGUCUAUUCUCCCCAGUACAGAAGGAACAAGGUGUCCUAGAAGAUAUAUAUAGAUAGAAAACUUAGACAUGAAUGGUUUUCAACUAAUUUCUCCUUAUUCCUACUGCCCUGCGCAAUGCCAUGGUUCAGAUAUAUCCCAGAAGCAUUACUGGAACAGUAUUUCAUAAGAGUAUGAAAUUCCAGAAAGAAAUACUGGUGUCAGAGUCCCUGAAAGACUGUGAAGUGUGCUUAGUAGGGUCCCAGUUUCCCUUACAGCCUUGCACAGACUCCCUGAGUAAGGAAGACAAAGACGACAGACAGUUGUUAUGGAAAGAUCUUUAUUUCUCUUUGUUCCAGAUUAUGUUUCUUUACUUAGUAUAUGUAUAACAUAAUAUAUAUAUACAUAUGUAAUUACAUGUAUAACAAAACAGCUAUAUGACUCAAUUAUGCUCUUAAUUUUACCAUAUGGAGGUGCAAACCACCUCAAAUCAUAUAAUUCAUAAUGAGCAAGAUAGAGCUCACCCAUUUGUUACCAUGUAUAAUUUAUUUUUAAAGUAUUUAUUUUCUCCAUGGAGGCACAUUAUAAAAUUGAUCACUUUUGAACCACGCUUUCCCUAAAACAAGAUCUUUUAGAGCUAGUUUUAGUAAGAGUAUAUUACCUUUAAUUGGGGGACAAAAAAAAGUAAAUAAGAGAACACUUAUGUGUCAAUUUGAAAAAUGCUUCGAAAAUACUAUGAAGUAUUAUAAUAAUUUUGUGUAUAUUCCAUUUUAUUCUAUUAUAUGCAAAUGAUAAUCUAAAAAUAGAAAUGGACUCUGCAGAGUCAAGAGAAGUACUAUAAAGCUACUGAUUUCUUUGUAAUUCCUGUGUCUAUAAGUUGACCGUGGUUGUGAAAGUUUUUUACUACCAUCACAAUUGUCAUUCAAAGAGAAAAUUAAGACAAAGGGGUAUACAAUUUGUUGGCAGGCUUUAAAUAUACAGAAUCUCGAUCGUUUUCUCUUCUAACACAUGAUCAUAUGUCAUUUAACAGUAAGUGCAUUUGUAUGACCAGCCCACAAGCUGGACCUUCCAGAACAGUUCUGAUGUUAGAUCUGUGGCACCAUCAGUCCAUGUGUCAAAUCACGUGUCCCAAAUUUGGGUUCAGAAAAUUUCUCAGUUGCCACAAAUGUUUUCCCAGUCAAGGUAAAACACUUUCAAAUGAAAGUAGUUAGAACUUUACAUAACAAAUGUGGUGCUUUAUUAUUAUUAUUACUAUUAUGUACUUCAGUGUUCAUUCUUAAAACUACUGCAAUACUAUAUCAUCAAAGUCUGGGAUGGAUGUUCCAACCAUCAUAAGGUCCAAAAGAGAACGUGUUAUUUUCCUGUUAGUGACAUGUAGUCCCUUUGUUCUAGUAGAAAAAAAAAAAAAAGGUGCCUAGAGGUAGUAUUUAGAGUAAAUAUUGUUCCAUUAGCCUACUUCCUGCAGCUUCCAAUUUACCUAAAGAAAUGUCUAUAAUGAUUUUGUUCAAGUCUUUGUUCUAGACAAUAGCAGGAGAAGUCCUUGUUCUUGGGCUGAUUUUGCUUUCAUCGACAAGAGAAAUGUCACGUAAUACUCAGGCCGAGCUUUCUCUUCCAUCCUACCACCUUCAAGGAAUGUCAAUAAACACUUUGGUAUGGCA